AUCCGCGUGGUGCAGUGGUUAGCAUGGUGCUCUUAUACUUUCUCGUAUUGAGAUAUGCAUAGGUCGUGGGUUCAAUCCCCACCGUGGAUA